rnacentral:rRNA from 1 species
UACGGGGGGAGCAAGCGUUGUUCGGAUUUACUGGGCGUAAAGGGCGCGUAGGCGGCGCAACAAGUCACUUGUGAAAUCUCCGGGCUUAACCCGGAGCGGCCAAGUGAUACUGUCGUGCUAGAGUGCGGAAGGGGCUACUGGAAUUCUCGGUGUAGCGGUGAAAUGCGUAGAUAUCGAGAGGAACACCUGCGGCGAAGGCGGGUUGCUGGGCUGACACUGACGCUGAAGCGCGAAAGCUAGGGGGAGCGAACGGG